GCCUGGCUGGCUCAAUCAGUAGAGCAUGUGACUCUUAAUCUUGGGAUCAUGAGUUUGAACCCCGUGGUGGGUG
rnacentral:tRNA from 1 species